rnacentral:rRNA from 1 species
UACGAAGGGUGCAAGCGUUACUCGGAAUUACUGGGCGUAAAGCGUGCGUAGGCGGUUUGUUAAGUCCGCUGUGAAAGCCCUGGGCUCAACCUGGGAAUUGCAGUGGAUACUGGCAAGCUAGAGUGCGGUAGAGGAUGGUGGAAUUCCCGGUGUAGCGGUGAAAUGCGUAGAGAUCGGGAGGAACACCAGUGGCGAAGGCGAGUCCCUGGACAACACCUGACACUGAGGCACGAAAGCUAGGGGAGCAAACGGG